rnacentral:lncRNA from 1 species
GUGCCAGGGACUGGGUGCCGGUGGGGUCCGCUGCGAAUACUGGGGGUGGGCAGUUGGGACUCAGGGCCCCAGGCCCUCGGGGCUGCGGGGCCGCCUCUUCCAAACGCGCCUUAAGCGGUUUUGCAGUGGCUUUCCGCCGGAGGGCUGGGAGGCGCCCCGGCCCUGAGUCAGUCACCCUUUGGCCGGACAGGCGGUUCCCGGGCGCGGAGGAUGGAAACCUGGCGGUAACCUCUGCAGGUCGUGCCACUCGGUGUGCGCAAGGUCUCCAGAGGCAUCUUUUCAUUUUUAGGGGGCACUUUCCACGAAUUCAUUUGAGCUACACAGCAGUCCUGGGCAGUGGGGAGUGGUGAGCUCCAUUGUGUACACUUGGAAGCAGCCCAGAAAGGUGAAGACCUGUUCGUGAACUCCAGAGGCCAUUGGAAGCAUGGAAGGCUAUGGCUGGCACUCUUCCUCUUUUUCCAGUUCACUGAGGCAGAUGGGAGGCCCGGAGGAGAAAGAAUGAAGGAAGGCAUUUCAGCCCGAGUAAACUCCCCAGGCCCGCUCUGUGCCAGGCAGUGUUGCAAGCCUCGGGUAGGGUGCUUCUAGCACGGUGCUUUGUGCACAGUAAACACUCCAGCGGCUGUUGACCAAUGAAUGAAUGAAGAUUGUAGGCUCAAAUAUUCAAGUUAUCAAAGUGCAAAGAAUGAGAGGUUGUUUGCACUGGACUUCAAAAAUAAAUAGCCUGGACCUGUACUGUCUUACA